rnacentral:rRNA from 1 species
ACGCUGGCGGCGUGCUUAACACAUGCAAGUCGAACGAAGAGCGAUGGAAGCUUGCUUCUAUCAAUCUUAGUGGCGAACGGGUGAGUAACGCGUAAUCAACCUGCCCUUCAGAGGGGGACAACAGUUGGAAACGACUGCUAAUACCGCAUACGAUCCAAUCUCGGCAUCGAGACUGGAUGAAAGGUGGCCUCUAUUUAUAAGCUAUCACUGAAGGAGGGGAUUGCGUCUGAUUAGCUAGUUGGAGGGGUAACGGCCCACCAAGGCGAUGAUCAGUAGCCGGUCUGAGAGGAUGAACGGCCACAUUGGGACUGAGACACGGCCCAGACUCCUACGGGAGGCAGCAGUGGGGAAUCUUCCGCAAUGGACGAAAGUCUGACGGAGCAACGCCGCGUGAGUGAUGACGGCCUUCGGGUUGUAAAGCUCUGUUAAUCGGGACGAAUGGUUCUUGUGCAAAUAGUGCGAGGAUUUGACGGUACCGGAAUAGAAAGCCACGGCUAACUACGUGCCAGCAGCCGCGGUAAUACGUAGGUGGCAAGCGUUGUCCGGAAUUAUUGGGCGUAAAGCGCGCGCAGGCGGAUUGGUCAGUCUGUCUUAAAAGUUCGGGGCUUAACCCCGUGAUGGGAUGGAAACUGCCAAUCUAGAGUAUCGGAGAGGAAAGUGGAAUUCCUAGUGUAGCGGUGAAAUGCGUAGAUAUUAGGAAGAACACCAGUGGCGAAGGCGACUUUCUGGACGAAAACUGACGCUGAGGCGCGAAAGCCAGGGGAGCGAACGGGGUUAGAUACCCCGGUAGUCCUGGCCGUAAACGAUGGGUACUAGGUGUAGGAGGUAUCGACCCCUUCUGUGCCGGAGUUAACGCAAUAAGUACCCCGCCUGGGGAGUACGACCGCAAGGUUGAAACUCAAAGGAAUUGA